rnacentral:rRNA from 1 species
ACGGAAGGCAGCAGUGGGGAAUAUUGGACAAUGGGGGAAACCCUGAUCCAGCGACGCCGCGUGAGUGAAGAAGUAUUUCGGUAUGUAAAGCUCUAUCAGCAAGGAAGAAAUUGACGGUACUUGACUAAGGAGCUCCGGCUAAAUACGUGCCAGCAGCCGCGGUAAUACGUAUGGAGCAAGCGUUAUCCGGAUUUACUGGGUGUAAAGGGAGCGUAGACGGCAAAGCAAGUCUGAAGUGAAAUCCCGGGGCUCAACCCCGGAACUGCUUUGGAAACUGUUUAGCUAGAGUGCAGGAGAGGUAAGCGGAAUUCCUAGUGUAGCGGUGAAAUGCGUAGAUAUUAGGAGGAACACCAGUGGCGAAGGCGGCUUACUGGACUGUAGCUGACGUUGAGGCUCGAAAGCGUGGGGAGCAAACAGGAUUAGAUACCCUGGUA